GAAGUACCCAAGUACUGUUAGAAGUAUCUGAUUUGGCUGACUUUUUUUCUUUCCAUGAUGAGCUAAGGAGAUUAUUACGCUGUGUUGGAAAGUGGGAAUGACCAUAGACAUCCCAAAGACGUCAAUCAGUCACCAACUCAUAACAUGUUGAACAAGCAGGAUGCGGGGGCAGUGAUUUCAGAGAAGAAUGUGAUGCUGACAAGGAAAACUGGAAGCUUUGGUGGUGGCCCACUGUCUUGAUGUCUGGAAAGGAGAGGUUGUUCCCAGGCCAGAUUUCUUAU